CUCCACCACGCGAUAGGGUAUACGAAAGGUCAUGGAUCCAACUAGCUCGUCCUGUGAAAAUGCGUUUUCUCAAGGAGCUCCAAAAAAUGCUUCAUGAAGGUAGUAGCUGAAGUUCAGGGCGCGACUCAGCUCCUUGACGAUCUCCAUAACUAUGCCCUUGUGCUCCACGAUGUCCCCAUUGCUGUUUUUGGUAAGGAUUUGCCAGGGUGGAUUCUGCGAGCGAUUUGAACCAAUAAUAAGAACUAUAUUCCUGGCUCAAAAACUCACGUGCACGGUCAGAAUAUCCAUGGUUAUGUUGCGGAAGUGGUGCUCGAUGUGCGGAAAGGCCAGCUCCUGGCAGACGAAUCCCAGCACGGGUGUCCAAUAGCCAAUGUUGAUGAACUCGAAGUUUCGGUUCUUAGCGUCGCGUUGGGGAGCUGCUAAGAUAUUGAUAUCGGAGUUAUUCUAAUUUCGGAAUAGAAAUCGGACUGACUUGAGCGAAACUUGCGAUUCUCCUGGCUUUUUCCCCAUGUAAUGGCCGUCUCCACACGCCAUCUCGCACAGCUGGAGCACUUGGCAUUGCUCUUCAGAAAUUCCUGAUCCACAUAAGAAUAGAAUAAUAAGAAUAAGAGCAGGGUAUUUGUCAACUACAAUGUAAAUUUCAUAUGGAUAUUUUAAAAACAAAAGAGAAAGUAACUCGACUAUUAGAUACCCGGUACUCAGCUAGUGUUAGGUUGAGGAAGAAAUUUCAAUUGGCAAGAAAAACAAUAAAAUCAAAAAUAAUAAAAA